UAGGGAAUCUUCCGCAAUGGGCGAAAGCCUGACGGAGCGACGCCGCGUGAGUGAUGAAGGUCUUCGGAUCGUAAAACUCUGUUAUUAGGGAAGAACAAAUGUGUAAGUAACUAUGCACGUCUUGACGGUACCUAAUCAGAAAGCCACGGCUAACUACGUGCCAGCAGCCGCGGUAAUACGUAGGUGGCAAGCGUUAUCCGGAAUUAUUGGGCGUAAAGCGCGCGUAGGCGGUUUUUUAAGUCUGAUGUGAAAGCCCACGGCUCAACCGUGGAGGGUCAUUGGAAACUGGAAAACUUGAGUGCAGAAGAGGAAAGUGGAAUUCCAUGUGUAGCGGUGAAAUGCGCAGAGAUAUGGAGGAACACCAGUGGCGAAGGCGACUUUCUGGUCUGUAACUGACGCUGAUGUGCGAAAGCGUGGGGAUCAAACAGG
rnacentral:rRNA from 1 species